rnacentral:rRNA from 1 species
AUGCCGCAUAUCAUGCCAUGUUCAUGUGUUGGUUGUUUACUAUGUUGUGUGCUUCUUUCGGUGUUGCUUCUUCGGGUUGGUUCCGUUAACGUCACAUUUGUGAGGACCCGUUUGACUAUGUCCGUUUGUCUUCUUCAUGGACUCGUUCUUCUUCCUUGCGGGAUUUCAGGCAAGAUGACCAUACCCUUGAAAUCACUUCUAUCUUUGCUUGCUAGUUGCUCGCUCUUUUGCUAUGCCUAUGCUGCGAUACCUACCACUUGCUUUAUCAUGCCUCACAUAUUGUUAAGCCAAGCCUCUAACCACCUUGUCCUAGCAAAACGUUGUUUGGCUAUGUUACCGCUUUGCUCAGCCCCUCUUAUAGCGUUGUUAGUUGCAGGUGAAGAUUGGAGUUUGUUCCUAGUUGGAACAUGGAUAUUUGUUGGGAUAUCACAAUAUCUCUUAUUUAUAUUAAUGCACCUAUAUACUUGGUAA